rnacentral:tRNA from 1 species
GCUGACGUAGCUCAAUUGGCAGAGCAGCUGACUUGUAAUCAGCAGGUUACCGGUUCAACUCCGGUCGUCAGCUCCA